ensembl:lncRNA
AAAUGCGCAAUGUCAUUGUGAGCUUUGCAACUGAACUCCCGCCUCUGUAUCUACAUCGCAUAUUUUCCAGUAUCUCUACUGGUAGAGAUGGAUGUUCUAAUACUUCACUUCUACUACUUGCAGGCUUCCUUAUUGUGCUUUUUAUUUAGAGAUUUGUUCAACGCAAUUAGGUCUCUCCCAGUUUGGAGAAACAUCUGUGCGAGAACCUUUACAAGCCUUCGAUGCUGUUGUAUUCGGACAAGCAAGCAAACUGCUGGAGGGAGAUAUCACACAAUUUGAACACCGGUACUGAUAUCAAAGAAACGUGGAGAAAGAUUUGGGACCGGUAUGUUCACAAUCUGAGAGGGGUGACGAAGAUGAGGAAUGGGGCUGCCGCUUCGUGUGUGUGUCCCACCGAUUGUCAGACAACUGGAGUGGCUUUGUGUUAUUGUGAAACAUUGUCGGAUACGGAUUCGCCAUAUGCUUGUAGGUGUUGGAGGGGGUGAUGUUUGAGAUAGUCCAGAGACGGAGCUGAGCCCUGAGGGCACAUCGACAGGUGAUUCAUUGCCCCUUGAUUCAUCAUCUCCCCGGCCUGGUUCUUCACCUCCCCGGCCCCUCUCCCCAAACUCAACCCACCGUCCAGACGCACCCUUGUUCUCUGCCCUGCCCUGCAACUCCAUCAACCUCCAAUUAAUCUCCCCGACCCAGAUCCAAUGGCCGGAAGAGGAAGACAGCUGACGAUCCUUUGGACAUGGACAUUAUGCAGCGGGUGGAUGACUUAAAAGAAACGGCAGCUUGAGUUACAGACACAGCAGCAGUGUACAGCAGAGGCCAUCUACGACGUAAUGGUAACAUGGAUGGUGUUUAUUCCUGCUGAUCAACGUCUCCUCUUUGUCUCACCUCAAAAACUGUAAUUGUAUGCUUUUUUUUCAAAUUCAUACGUUAGCAGGUGAGUAAUUUACAGGGGGGGUGGCAUGUUUUUCUACUUACUGUAUUUCCUCAUUCACAUGUUACUGGUGUUUAUUCAGUUUCUCUUAUUUC